rnacentral:tRNA from 1 species
UCCGUCAUGGUGUAGUGGCUAGCAUCAGCCGCUCUCAUAAAGAGCAUCAAACCGGCUAGACCCGGGUUCAAUUCCCGGUGACGGAA